rnacentral:rRNA from 1 species
AACGAACGCUGGCGGCAUGCCUAACACAUGCAAGUCGAACGAGACCUUCGGGUCUAGUGGCGCACGGGUGCGUAACGCGUGGGAACCUGCCCUUAGGUUCGGAAUAACUCCCCGAAAGGGGUGCUAAUACCGGAUAAUGUCUUCGGACCAAAGAUUUAUCGCCUUUGGAUGGGCCCGCGUUGGAUUAGCUAGUUGGUAGGGUAAAAGCCUACCAAGGCGACGAUCCAUAGCUGGUCUGAGAGGAUGAUCAGCCACACUGGGACUGAGACACGGCCCAGACUCCUACGGGAGGAAGCAGUGGGGAAUAUUGGACAAUGGGCGAAAGCCUGAUCCAGCAAGGCCGCGUGAGUGAUGAAGGCCUUAGGGUUGUAAAGCUCUUUUACCCGGGAUGAUAAUGACAGUACCGGGAGAAUAAGCGCCGGCUAACUCCGUG